rnacentral:lncRNA from 1 species
UGCCAACAGGAGCUGGUAAUCAGGAUGGCAGUGAGGCAGGCACUUGCUUGCAGAAGAACAGGCCUAGUUUUUUAAGAAGCCACAAAAGUGUCUUUGGAUGAUUAGGAUCUAAGGGGCCAACAGCUUUGCAAUAACAGCAUAAAUAUUGUGGGCUGGAUGGACAGGCACCAAAUGGGGACAUUCCAUCCUGCUGUGUGAUGAGAAAGCUGCCACUUUUGAGGCCUUCCAAAACAAAUCAACACUCCAUAUGCCAGAAGGAAAAGCCCAGGAAAGACCUAUUCCAACUGGAGAUGGUGAAUGUCAUUUCUUCAAGAAGCUGAGAUCCAGCUGGUACUGCCAGGUGGAGAGAAUACGAAGGGAGAAUGAAACAAAACUGCUCCGCUUAGGGAACUUGGAAAGGAAAUUGAAAAGGCAAGGCACAGGCUGGAAGAAAAUAUUUGAAAAAGAUUUAUGUGAACUUCUUUCUGGAUUAUACAAAAUAUUUUUAGAUAUUCUUACAACUCUAAAAUAAGAUAACUCCUUAAAAAUCUAAAUUCUACCAAAGGAGAGAUAAAGAUGACGAAUACAUUCAAAGAUGCUGAAAAUCACUUAUUUAUUAUUAGGAAGUUACAAGCUAAAGCAUAAUGAGAUACCACUACAACCUACUAAACUGACUAAAAUUAAUCAGACUAACCAGGUGUUGGCAAGAAACAGGGACACUGAGACUCUCACACUGCUGGAAGGAAUGUAAAAUGCUAAAACUUCUUUGGAAAUGAGUUCAGUAACUUUUUAAACAGUUGAAAAUAGACCUAUCAUGCAAACCAGCAAUCCCACUUCCAGGUAUUUAUACAAGGAAAAUGACAACAUAUGCCCACAUAAAGACUUGUGCACAAAUGACCGUAGCAGCUUUGUGAUAAUUGCUAAAAACUAGAAACUUGUCAAGUGUCCAACAGUUGACAUGCAGGCUGGACAUACAGUGGGCCUCGAUUGCUUAGAAGCCAAACUGAACUCACCAAGAAAAGAAGACAGGAGAAACUUCUCAAGAGGAAUAUCUCCAAAUUGCAGGAUCGAAUACCAUAAGAGGAAUUCUGGACUGAAGAGUUAUGAAGUCAUUUCAGACACUUCCAGACAAUUUGUGUUAAUUAAAUUCUCACUGGUUGAGUUCCAUUCUACACUGGAAGAGCAUUUUUCCUGGAAAGGCUCCUCAAAAUGUACCUUUGGCAAACACAGAGAGGUAUGCUCAUAGAAGAGGUGAGUUUGGAACUGCAAAUCCUCCCAGCCUCAGGACCUCUCUUUUGGUUGCCUGCUCUGCUACAAAGCUGGAGAUCUAAAGUGGAGGCGUGUAGAAGACACCGUCUGGCUGGACACCAUCAAGAGUCACCUCCUCAGUGAAGCCUUCCAUGGUUUCAUACCACCCAUCCCUAUCGGAAUGAAUGUAUCCUUGUUCUCCGUUAUCCCAGUAUUUUGCCUGGGCUUCUGUCACACUACUUUCAAUGUCUAUACCUCAGUUAUCGAAUCGAAAAACAAGAGUCAUCAGUCUCUAAGGUCCUUGCAAGCUUCAAAACUUUAUAUUUUUGUCAAUUACAACUGAAUAAAGCUGAACAACUUAUUAUUUAUGGAUACUUGCUCAAGCACCAUAUAACUCUUUCAGAUAUUUUAAAAGAAUAUGUUUGCAAAAGACUCCAAAUCAAUGUAUUAAAUUGAAAUCCAGUAUCAAAACACCCAUUAAAGUGCUCUUUUGAAAUUGUACAUUUUAUAUCAAUAAAAUUUCAAAAUAUAAAAACCUCUAUUUUACUUGUUGAAUUCUUAGGAAUAAUAACUAAACAGUUUUAAAAUAUUAGUAGAAAGAUGGUGUCUUUGAAAUAAGAAGAAUGGAGUUGGAGCAUAAGUUGCUU